rnacentral:lncRNA from 1 species
AUCAUGAUUGAGCCAUGGAAAUCAAAGUCCAGAAUUUCAAGGGGGAUAAAGAUACAGCAGGCUUAAGACUCGUGCAGAAAGGUCCACAUCUGGAAAGGGAGAGAAGCCCCAGAUGAAGACAUGCUGGGUCAGCAACGUUCAGCUCGAGCGUAUGAACAUUUUAAGCUGAAGAACCAUCAUUCACCCAAUAAACAUUUAUUAAUUGUUUACUAGUGCAGACCUCUGGCUGCUGGCUUUUGCCAGACAGGCAGAGAGGAGGGAGAAAGACCCCUUAAGAAAGGAGAGAUGUUCACAGCUUUAGUCAGCGUGGGCUGCCUGCCUGUCUAGGUUUUUUUUUUUUUUAGAAAACCAGGCUCAAAUGUGAUGAAAAAUAGGUUGGUACAGCUCCCAGGAGAGGGGGUUACCUAGUCGGACAAAAGCCAAGCUCCCUGAAGAGGUCAGCACAGCCUCAGUGGCCCAAAGGUUGACACAUCAAGAUAAAUUAGGUUUGUCAGAGAGAGAAAGGAGCAAAAGAGGCUGCUUGUUGGAGAUUAGAUUAGACCAGA